AACAGAUUUUAAGUAUUCUCACCACAAAAAUAAGUGUGUGGGAUGAUGUAUGUGUUAAUUAGCUCAAUUCAGCUAUUUCUCAUGAAGAACUGGAAUGUUCAUGAAUAUCAAAUAGAAUGGGAGUUAACUGAAUUAACUGAACCAACAGAAAACAGAAGUAAUUUUUUUACCUUUGUUUAAAAUGCUGCUGAUCCUUUGUUUUAUUUUUCAGAGUCAAGGACACUUUUCUUUUGAGCUAUAUACAGCUUUUAGUAAUUGAGUAAAGUAUACUCCUGUGAACAAAAUGUGGAGCAUAUUUGAUUCUCUCUACCUGUUUUCUCCAAAAUUGGAAACUGAAUCAAACUUGACUUGUAAAGCCAGUAAAAGCUCCAUGAAGAAUUGGCCUCAUACCUUGUCUGCAACAGUCCCUGUACAGGGUUUCUGACUUGGGGUAAGUAAAGAAUGUCACUUUCUGACAGGUCCAGGAGCCCCAAGUAAUCUUGGGACCCCAAGAGAAGAGGAAUUUACUCAACUCAUAGGUAUUUGAGGAUACAAACCCAUGGCUGAGCUUGGCUUUAAAAAGUCUUAUCUAAGAUUCCUUCUAUGGAACAGAGUUCCAUCAAAGCCAAUUUAAAAAGAGCCUCUGUGAAAAAUAAUUAUUCCUGCUGCACUUUAUACAAAUAAUCAGGCCAAGUAUAAUAAAGGAAAUAACCCUUACCAUGAUUCAUCUUUAGUAAAAAUGAGAAACUGGAGACAGAAAUAUUAUUUUUCAAGAACUAUGGUAAACUUGUUGUUAAAUUCCAGUCUCAUUAGUUGUUUUUAAGCUUGUUUCUACAAUUUAGGCUAACCCUGCUUAUUCCUGUGAACCC
rnacentral:lncRNA from 1 species